GAUGAACGCUGGCGGCGUGCCUAAUACAUGCAAGUCGAGCGAACAGACGAGGAGCCUGCUCCUCUGACGUUAGCGGCGGACGGGUGAGUAACACGUGGAUAACCUACCUAUAAGACUGGGAUAACUCCGGGAAACCGGAGCUAAUACCGGAUAAUAUAUUGAACCGCAUGGUUCAAUAGUGAAAGGCGGUUUUGCUGUCACUUAUAGAUGGAUCCGCGCCGCAUUAGCUAGUUGGUAAGGUAACGGCUUACCAAGGCAACGAUGCGUAGCCGACCUGAGAGGGUGAUCGGCCACACUGGAACUGAGACACGGUCCAGACUCCUACGGGAGGCAGCAGUAGGGAAUCUUCCGCAAUGGGCGAAAGCCUGACGGAGCAACGCCGCGUGAGUGAUGAAGGUCUUCGGAUCGUAAAACUCUGUUAUUAGGGAAGAACAAAUGUGUAAGUAACUAUGCACGUCUUGACGGUACCUAAUCAGAAAGCCACGGCUAACUACGUG
rnacentral:rRNA from 1 species